GGAGAGGUGCGAGAGUGGUUUAAUCGGACAGUCUUGAAAACUGUUGAGGAUUCACGUCCUCCGUGGGUUCGAAUCCCACCCUCUCCG
rnacentral:tRNA from 1 species